UGCCUUGUAACAAAAAAAGAAACAAACGUAAAACAUAAUGAAUUGAGAUUCGUUCUGUCAUCUGUACAUAUGUGUCAUCUGCAUGAUGCAUUGUUAACUGAACUUGGCGUGAUAAAUGUGUUGAGAAUUUAGCAUGAAGCUGUUUACCUCUUUUGUAUGUCCCGUGUUGUUAAUACCAAGUGCAUUUCUGACUGCGGCGUUGUAUGAAUUCUUGUAGAUGUUGUUCUACUAUCUGCCUGCCGAAUAAAGCAGUUGUUUUGAUCCAAAAGUUGUAAUCUGUAUAGAUUUGGCAUGCUAUACGCGGUAGGGGAAUUCCUGCUAGGUUUCGAUGACGUAAGGGGGUUUCUGCUAUGUUUCGAUGACGUAAGGGGGUUUCUGCUAUGUUUCGAUGACGUAAGGGGGUUUCUUCUCAGUUUCAAUGACGUGUGCUACGUACAUGUUUCGCUCCUCUCAUUUCUACUUGUACUUCGUAAUGUUUUACCUUGAACUUCGGAGCUGGUAAGACUACACAACCACACACUGACCGUCUGGAAAGGCAGAAUUGUCUACAAAGUCACGAGAAACUUCAAGGAUGGAUAUCUAUAUCCCCGUUGCCCUAGCUGGUUGGGCCGUCAGUGUCUGUCUGUCUGCGGGUGCCCUGGCGGUGGUCCGAACCUUGGACAAGAAGCUGACCUACUUCUCUGUCGCGAUGGGGGCUACCGUCAUCUAUUCACUGCCCAUCAUUCUCCUCUUCAUUAUGGGCGG